rnacentral:lncRNA from 1 species
GCCGCCGCCCCGCCAGCCCUGCCAGCCCCGCGUCCGCCGCCCGGCCCGGCCGCCGACACCCCAACAGACUCACACACACACUCACACAUACUCACACACACGCCGGAGCAUUCCAACAGCCCUGCCCCAAACGAAGAAGGUGAAAACUGCACGGAAAACUGGUCGCCGACGAGCUUUGAAGACCGUGGCAGGAGGGAUCCUCACCCCCCCACACACAGGCAGACCGGUGGAACAUCAGUGUUCUCUGGUGUGGUUUCUCAGGCUGCUGUGGAUUUUGCAAUACGGAUUUUUUUUUUUCUUUUCCCUCUAUGAGCACUACUUUCCCGUGCUCACAAAAGCAGCUCUUUCCCAGCACAUGAAUGAAUCCGACCCCUGCUCUGCCACCAUUCAUGCGUCCCACAUCCGAGAUGUUUACUUAAUCCAAACCAGAGUGACGGCCGCGCUCCCCACGUCUUCGCCAAACUAAGUCUUAGCGCUCACGGGACAAGCCGCCUGGGAGAGGCGGGCACACCGGUACCUCGCAGGCAGGCGGGAGGGGUCGGCGGUAGGGCCCCGAAGCCAGGCACCCGCGGGGCAUGCGGGUGCGGGGGUGGAUGUCGCCUAGGAGCGCCAAGGGGACCCGUUCGUUCCGCAGUCGCCGCUUGGCCUCGGCCGCCGCGGCUCAGCCCCUCCACUGGCCCCCCGAGCGGCCAGGACGGUGGCGGGGCGGUCUGCACCCUGUCCGCGCCAGCCAGUCAGGCUCCCGCCCUCCCUGGGGGAGAGGAGAAGCUGGGGGCGUGUGUUCAAGUGGUCUGAGCUGCUCUGAAUUAUGUGCCAGGACUGGACAUCCCUGAUGUGAAGUAGCCAAUGUGGUGUUCUGACCUGCUUCACUUUUAAAUAAAAUGUACUUAAGUAUUGC